UUGUUGGCCUGCACGAUUAAUGAGGCAUAAGAAAAGAGAUUUUUUUUUCGCCAAACUGUUGAUACUGAGAAAGAUACACCAGUUUGCUCUUUCAUUGCCUCGUUCUUCCAUCUGAUGAACGACGGUUUUGUGUUUCAGAGGCAAACGACCGAGCUCAUUGUGACUCGUGUUUGUGCCUCUCUGUGUGCUGGCCUAGCAUUCUGUGUGGACGUGGCGGUGUUGUCUACACCGGUGGUGGUGAUGGUGAUAGCGAUGGUGAAUGUGCGGGACUGUGGUGGUGGUGGUGAUGGUAUUUGCGGAUGCAGCAUCUAGAAAUCGUGGUGGUGAUGGUGGUUGUUAUGGUGGAACGUUCGUACCCUGCGUCUAAUGGCUGCACUCCUUCGAGCGGAUGAAGAUGAUGACGUGCUCAUCACAGGGGAUGAACUGCACCGUGCUCUCGCCAGGUGUAAGGCAACAGCUCCCGGGAAUGACGGCGUUACUUACCAGGUCCUCCGACUCCUCCUCAAAGUCCCUGGUGAGAAACUUUGCCUUCAUCAGUGUCUGUCGUUCUGGCCAAGGCGGGUCCACAGCCUCGGCCGCGGACAGCCUCGUGAUGGUCAGCCCUCCAAGUGUGCUCGUCUUAGCAAGGCCUUCCUCUCCCAGACGACCAAAACGCAGAGGGAGGUGUUCCACGCGCCCUUCUGCACCACCUGGUUCUGUACGGCCUGGACGGGGCUCUUCUGCCCGCUCUGCCUCGCCUGCCACUCCUGCUUCCGGAGGGACAAGGACUCACUCAAGGUCUCCCUCAAAACCAUCGCACAGAACUUCAGGGACCGCGGCGUCACUUUCAGCGCCAUAUUCGACCAGGAUUCCAGGGUGAUCCAGAGCGCCUUCCUGCACGCCAUCCAGCACUACAGUCAAAACACCGCGGGCAGGAGGCUUCAGCUUCACGCCUUUGUGGGCAUCAUCAGUAUGGCGGACGCCUUCAAGAUCUCCAGACUGAGUGGUAACACGGAGAGCAAGUGGAAGAAACCUUGGGAGACUUCCAUGACUCAGGAACAAGCACACCUCACUGGGAGCCUUGUGACUGACAGGUGGUUCAGACCGACUGGGAGACAUGACGUCAGUGCCACCACACAGGGAGUAAAACCAAGAGGAGGAAGAGGAGCAUUCAAGAGACAUCAGCUGGCCAGCAGUCCAUUCAGACACACACACACACCCAGGCUUCCAAGUUGAUAAUCCAAAAGCCAGCAGAUGACAGCUUCCUUCCAGCACACACUUGUAUCGCCCAACUUGACCUGCCUGAAUACAAGCUGAUACAGUCCAUGCAGCAGGGAGUGCAGCCUCUACAAGUGGUGGAGGGCAUGGACACUUGGAUAUGGAUGACACUGGUUUGGGUGCCAAAUAUUAAUAGUGCACCUACACAAUUACCACACUCGCUCCCCUCACCAGGCUUAACUAUAAAUAAUUAAAGGUAAAUAACAUCUGUCAUCUAUUAUCUAUUGUAUUCUAUAUUGCUGUUAAUGUUUCAUGUAUAAUGUCUUUGCUUUCAAAUGCAAGUCAAAAGGGUGAACCCCAUUUAUAGUACUAUUCACGUUUGGCAAAUUUCACUUUUGACAUUGGUUUGGCUACACUAAUUAAACUGCUAACAGUGAGGGACUACUGUAAAUGUAGUAAUAAUUAUAAUAAUAAUAAUAAUAAUAAUAAUAAUAAUAAUAAUAAUAAUAAAAAGUAAUGAUAAAGUGCAAGACAUGUUCAUUAACGCAAUUAUUUUCUCCAACAUGGAGAAGUGAGGAGGCAUAUCUGUCUGUGAUUAGGGAAUGCAAAUGACGAUGUUCCAAGGACGUCACCCUGUCCUGGGCCAUGACAUGAGAGAAGAGGAAAAAAGGACUCUCUCUCUCUCUCUCUCUCUCUCUCUCUCUCUCUCUCUCUCUCUCUCUCUCUCUCUCUCUCUCUCUCUCUCUCUCU